GGGGAAAUGGUUUCAAACUGAAAGAGAGUAGCUACAGGUUGGAUAGAAGGAAAAAGUCUCCUACAUUGAAGGUGGUGAGUCACUGGAACAGGUUGCCCAGAGAUGUGAUGAAAGUCCUGUCCUUGGAAGCAUUCAAGACCAGGCUGGACAGGGCACUGAGCAACCUGAUCUAGCUGUGGGUGUCCCUGUUCAUUGCGGAUGAGGCUGGAGAUAAGGACACAACAUUGAUAAACUGAGAAACAGCUCGUUAGGAAAUAACUACCCAAAACACCAGAAGAGGCCAAAGAAAGACUUGAUUGCCACUCAGCUCCAGGAUGCCAACUCCUGAAUCUGACAAUAAUACCAUCUAACGAAGGGCUAAAGACCAAGCCAUACAAGCACGCUGUGUACAAAGCUGCCCAUGGCUGAAGAAAGAUCAUUGAUUCACUACAUCUCAUUUGGGAAUUUCCCUCAUCUUCCGUAUCUUUCUAAAAGACUCAUAAUCAAGCUGAAGGGUAAUCUGUUCUUCUGGAGUAGUUUUUUUGACAGUAUCUCCCAUUAUAACUAUACUUCAUUUGAAACACUACAACAUUAACUGGAAAGAGGAACAGAAUAGGACUCAUCAUGGUGAAUUACCUAGAGUAAAAUCCAGUUGCUCCCUAGCACGUUAAACAUGGGAUUCUUGUAUACAUUACAGAACUGACACAGAUGAAGCAACAGAAACUGAAAGUUCAAAUACUGAAACGUUUCUGGAUGCAUAUUAGAUACCUUUGAGCAGAAAUAUAUGUAUCUGGCAAAUUUUGCUAGCAGAAAUCUCUGUAGCUUCCUCACUUUUAGCAGAACAGCACUGUGAACAUUAGUGGUACCUAACAAAAGUCCUUCUUGUGAAGCAAACCCUGGAUGCUGCAGGUUUAAACCAGUGAGAAGUUUAGCACAUGAAUGAUGCAGAAGUGUUGAUUGGUAUAUGUCAACACAGAGUCAUAGACAAAGUGUUGAUGUAAGUGCUUGUCAUCUAGAACGCUGAAUUUCAAUGCAAGUGUGGCAGUGAGACUGAUGGACCCCCAAUACUGACAGGAUAUGGCAACUGGGUAGAUUAUGCUCAUCUCAAACUUACAGAAGCAAUCCCUUCACUAUUUUUCCUAUGCAUAUUAGCCUUAUGUAGAUUUGAAACCAACACAACUUCACAACCUUCUGAUGUUUCUCUUCAGAAAAACAAACAAACGAAGAAAGCAGGGACAGAAGCAACAGCAGUACUGGUACUAAGCAGUGGAGUGUAGUGGUCAGAUCAAAUAUUCUGAAAAUUAUGUAGCAUGUCAUCUUGACAAUAGCCUUGACUUAACCAGAAACUAUUUUUUGUAAUUAGUAUACUCAGACGUUUUCUUUAUAUUCAGAAUCCAACUGUUCUAACGUUCUGAAAAACAGAACAAAAAGAAAAACAAGCCUUUAAACCAGUCUGACAACUGCAAUUAAAUCAAUCAUCCACUCAAAUUCAGGUAUUUGUAACAUCAGGUAAUUUAACAAACAUCUUUCAACCAUAACAGCUCAAGGCACAUGUGUUUUAAAAGCACUUUAAUAGAAAAUUUCAGUAUACCUCCCCCACUAAGAUCGUUCUGUAAAGAAUGCACUUCUAACUAUAGAGGAUCAAAAGCACUGAAUAGUCACUUUAUAAUUUUCAACAUUUAUUAUAACUUCUUAGGGAACUAUGCCUAGUUGUGAACAAAUCAAAAAUUGCUUCUGGAGGGAAAAUAUUUAAUGAAAAGAAGAUUAUUAUCGUAUUUUAACAUAAAGAUAAAUUUAAUACAACUAAUGGCUACCAUUCCUAUUAUAUUCUUGUAUGUUACCAUCAGACUUUUAAAUGAGAAGAGGUGCUUGAGUUCCAUCUGUGACAAAGCACAGAAACAGCAAAAGAGCUAGAAUAUUCAAUUGCUUACAGUUUGCAGUUUCAUUAUACCAUGGAGAUCAUGAAGAACUGAAACCCAGACUUAUAAGCCCAAUAGAGGAAAGCGCUCAUGGGAAACUGAUUGAAAGUAUUUCGAGGUAAGAAAGAUUAAGGCUUUUUUAUGCUUUUCCUAGCUUUGUGCCUGGGGACAAUAUACUCUAGAACAUCUGUAAAGUUUACUGGAAUUUUUGCUGAUAUACCUAAUGUUGACCUCAUUAUCCACAUUCUCUAUAUAAUUAUGAUGAAUGAUUUUCAGUUUAGUAGACCUAGCAAUUUACUUGUUCUUACUUUACUAAGCAACCCCAUUUUUCUCCUCCCUACGAAGAAUAUAAUCCAGCGCUGCAGUCAAAGGUAGGAUUCAAAUCUUAACCAAGGGAGGAGAUGCAUAGACUAUACAUUUAAUCAUUGAGAUUUAAUAAUUGCAGAUUGAUGAAUAAUCUGUUAAAGUAAAAGCACUGUAUGGGCUCCAUUCCUGCACACACUGAUACCUUUAGCAGGCUCUGACUGCCUCGCUAUUGCAAGAGCUGAAGGGCUAUUCAGCUGAGUAGUGCCCACACAUUAGGUCUGAUGAAAGAUAGACUGAAGCCAUUACAUUCAGAUCUGAUGAUGAGAGUGAAUCACAUAAAUUGACAGCAUAGUCUAACUUUUUAUCAAUAUCUGAUCAAUAUUAUUGUUCAGACAAUAAAAGGCAAGCACUUCUUUUCUUGACAGGAAUAAAUAGGUGCUUACUGUUUCAUACAGAAAAAUGAUUUUACACAUACAACCUAAAGGUCUACCGUUUCCUAUCAAUGUAAGACUUGUAUAUUCUGUGGGAGAACACACAGUGGGCCAGAGGUGUAAAAAGUCACAUAUAACAGUAUAGUAUCAGAUCUCCAGCUUUGGAAUAACUGAGCAAAUUUUUAGAGUUUUGAAGAAGACAGAUACACACGUUAUUCUUAGAAGAAGCUGAUGAAUCACUAGCAAGUAUUUACUAACCAAUGUUAAACACCAUUAUUUCAGGUUCCUUGAUACAUUCUUAAUACAGUAUUUCUAUAAAUCAGUUUUUGUAUGAGAAUCUGUUGAGGGUAGCAGUUGCUAAAAAUACAAAGUACAUGUAAAUCACCCCAAACAACGAGAUUUACUUGCUGAAAAAAAGAGAUUUCUGAAAUAAGUAGUAUGAUAUGUGGAGGCUGAAUCACUCCCAGUGGUGCCAUCUUUUUCUCUGCUGACUUUUCUGGAGAUAGGAAAGCUAAAUUGCCAAAAUAUGAAUUUAAUCCCAUCUAUAAAACAAACAGUUUUUCAUUCCCUGUGCAGCACUAGCCUAUAUGUACUUCCUAUUUUUAUAACACCGCAAAUAUCUAUGUCAUGUUGUGCCUGAAAUACAAUUGUUUUCGAAUGAGCAGACAAACAGAAGAAACAAGAUUCAGAAAAAAAACCUUACCCAAAACAUUUUGAGGAAGCUAAUGGUUUUUUUUUUUUCUUUCUAACAAUGAAGUUCCAAUUUUAUCAAUAUUAAAUAAGUUCACAAAAUUCUUCUGACUGGAGCAUCAACCUUUUGGCAGAAAAGAUAAUGCCUACAUAUCUCACAGAACACUGGUGAAAUUGCAUUGAGGGAAGGAAUUCAUAUUUA
ensembl:lncRNA